rnacentral:tRNA from 1 species
AUUAUUUUGGCAGAUUAGUGCAUUAAAUUUAGAAUUUAAUUAUGUAUAAAAAUACAAAUAAUA